rnacentral:rRNA from 1 species
UACGUAGGGGGGCAAGCGUUGUCCGGAAUUAUUGGGCGUAAAGAGCUCGUAGGCGGUCUGUCGCGUCGGCUGUGAAAACCCGGAGCUCAACCUCGGACCUGCAUUCGAUACGGGCAGACUAGAGUUCGGUAGGGGAGUCUGGAAUUCCUGGUGUAGCGGUGAAAUGCGCAGAUAUCAGGAGGAACACCGGUGGCGAAGGCGGGACUCUGGGCCGAUACUGACGCUGAGGAGCGAAAGCGUGGGGAGCAAACAGGA